GUGAGUCAUCGAAUCUUUGAACGCACAUUGCGCCUCCGGGUAUUCCUGGAGGCAUGCCUGUUCGAGCGUCGUUAAAGACCAUGAGGCUUUGCCUUGCGAUGAGCGUCCGAUCCCUCGGGGUUGGUAGCUUCAAACUGAUUGGCGUCUGAAGUUUAGCCCAAGCACAGCAAAAUGUGGUGAAGCGACGGAAGGACUGCCUACUCAUAAAACACAAAGGUCGACCUCGGAUCAAGCAAGACUACCCGCUGAACUUAAGCAUAUCAAUAAGCGGAGGA
rnacentral:misc_RNA from 1 species